rnacentral:rRNA from 1 species
UACGGAAGGUCCGGGCGUAUCCGGAUUUAUUGGGUUUAAAGGGAGCGUAGGCCGGCUUUUAAGUCAGCUGUGAAAGUCCGCGGCUCAACCGUGGAAUUGCAGUUGAAACUGGAGCCUUGAGUGCACACAGGGAUGCCGGAAUUCAUGGUGUAGCGGUGAAAUGCUUAGAUAUCAUGAAGAACUCCGAUCGCGAAGGCAAGUGUCCGGGGUGCAACUGACGCUGAGGCUCGAAAGUGCGGGUAUCAAACAGG